rnacentral:lncRNA from 1 species
UUUAAAUAGCUAGAUUUGAUUCUGGUAUUAUUCUUAGUCAACAAAAAUUUAUCCUUGAUAUGAUUCAUGAAGUGGUUUGCAAGAUGCUAAGGCUUCUCUGUCCCCUCUUCUUAGAGGUCUUAAAUUGUCUGUAGAUGAAGGAGAACCUUUAAAGGAUCUAAAUUAAUAUUGUAGAUUGAUUGGAAAAUUGUUUUAUCUUACUUUGACUAGACUUGACAUCAAUUAUUCUGUUCAGCAUCACGGAACCGUCGAAAAAUCGAUUUUGAUGGAUAAGGCCAUCGAAUCGCUCAUAUUUACACCAGGAGUCCAUAUCUGGCAUCAAUUUGCAGAGAGGAUAAGUCCUUUAGCCGAAAAUAGCCUCGACAGUCUCCUUGCUAUCGUUCAUGGCGGAUUCGCAAGACAGGGCUAGACGAUGAAAUUUAUGGAGGGAAAAUGAUGGUGAGGUGUUGGAAGGUCGAUCGAAAAGCCUCUUUGAAGGCUGUUUUCACCAAUAAUGGCGAGAAAAUGUGCUGCUACGGUAUCAAACUCCUUACUCGCGGUUUCUCUCAAUCUAGGCCUUUAUUC